ACUCCUACGGGAGGCAGCAGUGGGGAAGUAUUGCCACAAUGGGCGGCAAGCCUGAUGCAGCCAUGCCGCGUGUAUGAAGAAGGCCUUCGGGUUGUAAAGUACUUUCAGCAGUGAGGAAGGUUGGAGUCGUUAAUAGCGGCCUCAUUUGACGUUUAGCGACAGAAGAAGCACCGGCUAACUCCGUGCCAGCAGCCGCGGUAAUACGGAGGGUGCGAGCGUUAAUCGGAAUUACUGGGCGUAAAGCGCAUGCAGGUGGUUUGUUAAGUCAGAUGUGAAAGCCCGGGGCUCAACCUCGGAACUGCAUUUGAAACUGGCAGACUAGAGUACUGUAGAGGGGGGUAGAAUUUCAGGUGUAGCGGUGAAAUGCGUAGAGAUCUGAAGGAAUACCGGUGGCGAAGGCGGCCCCCUGGACAGAUACUGACACUCAGAUGCGAAAGCGUGGGGAGCAAACAGGAUUAGAUACCCUGGUAGGUGACAAU
rnacentral:rRNA from 1 species